rnacentral:rRNA from 1 species
UACGAAGGGGGCUAGCGUUGCUCGGAAUCACUGGGCGUAAAGGGUGCGUAGGCGGGUCUUUAAGUCAGGGGUGAAAUCCUGGAAGCUCAACUCCAGAACUGCCUUUGAUACUGAAGAUCUUGAGUUCGGGAGAGGUGAGUGGAACUGCGAGUGUAGAGGUGAAAUUCGUAGAUAUUCGCAAGAACACCAGUGGCGAAGGCGGCUUACUGGACCGGUUCUGACGCUGAGGCGCGAAAGCGUGGGGAGCAAACAGG